rnacentral:rRNA from 1 species
GACGAACGCUGGCGGCGUGCCUAACACAUGCAAGUCGAACGGGGUGUCGGGAGCUUGCUCCUGACACUUAGUGGCGAACGGGUGAGUAACGCGUGAGGAACCUGCCUUUCAGUGGGGGACAACAGUUGGAAACAGCUGCUAAUACCGCAUAAGCGCACAGUACCGCAUGGUACAGUGUGAAAAACUCCGGUGGUGUGAGAUGGACCCGCGUCUGAUUAGCUAGUUGGUAAGGUAACGGCUUACCAAGGCGACGAUCAGUAGCCGGCCUGAGAGGGUGAAACGGCCACAUUGGGACUGAGACACGGCCCAGACUCCUACGGGAGCAGCAGUGGGGAAUAUUGGCACAAUGGGAGGAAACUCUGAUGCAGCGAUGCCGCGGUGAGGGAAGAAGGUUUUUCGGGAAUUGGUAAACCUCUGUCUUCAGGGUACAGUAAUGACGGUACCUGAGGAGGAAGCUCCGGCUAACUACGUG